rnacentral:rRNA from 1 species
AGUGAACGCUGGCGGUAGGCCUAACACAUGCAAGUCGAACGGCAGCACAGGAGAGCUUGCUCUCUGGGUGGCGAGUGGCGGACGGGUGAGGAAUACAUCGGAAUCUACUUUUUCGUGGGGGAUAACGUAGGGAAACUUACGCUAAUACCGCAUACGACCUACGGGUGAAAGCAGGGGAUCUUCGGACCUUGCGCGAUUGAAUGAGCCGAUGUCGUAUUAGCGAGUUGGCGGGGUAAAGGCCCACCAAGGCGACGAUCCGUAGCUGGUCUGAGAGGAUGAUCAGCCACACUGGAACUGAGACACGGUCCAGACUCCUACGGGAGGCAGCAGUGGGGAAUAUUGGACAAUGGGCGCAAGCCUGAUCCAGCCAUACCGCGUGGGUGAAGAAGGCCUUCGGGUUGUAAAGCCCUUUUGUUGGGAAAGAAAUCCAGCUGGUUAAUACCCGGUUGGGAUGACGGUACCCAAAGAAUAAGCACCGACUAACUUCGUGCCAGCAGCCGCAGUAA